rnacentral:rRNA from 1 species
GACGAACGCUGGCGGCGUGCCUAAUACAUGCAAGUCGAACGCUGAAGGAGGAGCUUGCUUCUCUGGAUGAGUUGCGAACGGGUGAGUAACGCGUAGGUAACCUGCCUGGUAGCGGGGGAUAACUAUUGGAAACGAUAGCUAAUACCGCAUAAGAGUAGAUGUUGCAUGACAUUUGCUUAAAAGGUGCAAUUGCAUCACUACCAGAUGGACCUGCGUUGUAUUAGCUAGUUGGUGGGGUAACGGCUCACCAAGGCGACGAUACAUAGCCGACCUGAGAGGGUGAUCGGCCACACUGGGACUGAGACACGGCCCAGACUCCUACGGGAGGCAGCAGGAGGGAAUCUUCGGCAAUGGACGGAAGGCUGACCGAGCAACGCCGCGGGAGUGAAGAAGGGUUUCGGAUCGUAAAGCUCUGUUGUAAGAGAAGAACGAGUGGGAGAGUGGAAAGUUCACACUGUGACGGUAUCUUACCAGAAAGGGACGGCUAACUACGUG